AGCGUAUCGGUCAACUUUGAAGCAAUGUAUAUAAAACACAAGGAUGAUGACAUAUGUGUUUCUAUAUAUAUAUAAAAAAAUAAAAGGAUGUGGUAUGAUUGCCAAUGAUACAACUCUCCACAAGAGACAAAAUGACACUGAAAUUUACAUAUAUAGGUCACUGUACUGCCUUCAACAAUGAGCAAAGUCAUACCGCAUAGUCAGCUAUAAAAGGCCCCGAAAUGACAUAUGUAAAACAAUUCAAACGAGAAAACCUAAUUUAUGUACAAAAUAAUGAACGAAAAACAAAUAUGUUACAUAGCAACAAACUAAAUUACAGACUACUUGACUCGGGACAGGAACAUACAGAAUGUGGUCAGGUUAAACUCGUUUAAAGGCGCCAACCCUCCUUUCCCCUAACCUGGGACAUAAACUGGACCCCUGUUGUGUUCCCUUAUCGUUACACUAACGGUGCGAAGCUUAAGAUGGAAUGACGGACCAGUUUAACUUGGGACAGUGGUGUAACAGUACAACAUGAGAAUAAACUGUAGAAAUCAGUUAAAAAAGGCUUAACUCAUCAGAUGGAUGCAAAUAGAAUACAUCUUACAAAAAGAGAGUGGACGUGGAAGGGUACUUAUACAUCCCAACAACCAAAAGACUUUAAGUACAGAGUACUCGCAGUUACUGACAGCUAGUUGAAAGCUAAUAACAACUAAUACAAAAAGCAUGCACCUUAGAGGCAUAAUCCGGGAUAUUAUGUUAGUUUUUAGUUUUCUCCGUAUAUAAGAACAAAGCCAUCUAUUGAAAAAAAAUUUAAAAAAAAAAGAAAAGUUAAAACAAAGCAUUUUCCCUGUGUAAAUUUGUCGUCAAAAUUGACGUUUUCUAAUCAAAUUUACGAAAAAACAAAAGUGGUGACCCCCAUUUUUUUUAUUACAUAUUCCGAUGUAACUCGAUUCAAAGUACAAGUGUGCCAAAAAUUUUAGAAAUCGGGAGAUAUGCCAUUCGGUGUCGUGUUAUCUUGAAAUAUAAGUACACAGUUUUGGAUUAUGAAGAAAAAUUGCCCACUUAGAGGGGAACACGAAACUGCAUUGAAAAUGAAAAAAAAUCUGGAGCAAAAUUAAACAUGUAUACAAAUCUAGGUUAGAAAAAGACACUACUUUUAAAAAAGAAAUAAAAAAAAAUUAACAUUAAGAGAUACAAUCAUAAUAAUUUAGUGAAAUAAAAAAAGACGUAGAUAACUAGAAUGGUAUCUUCUAUAUAUGAGGGUGUGGAUGGAGUUUACAGAAUAGAGAAUAAUGUGCUAAAAAAAUAAAGAAUAGAAAAGAAAAGGAUAGGCCAAAAAUUUAAGAAUAGAGAAUAGUGGGCUUCUAGAACAAUAUAAAAAAUAGAGAAUAAUGGGCAAAAUUUAUAUAGAAUAGAGAAAAAAUGGCGUAAAUAAUAUUAAGAAUUGAAGAACACCCACCUCCCUCCUUUUCCAGACCCUCUUUUAUCCUAUGACUGUUAAAAGAAAGAAGCGCCGUAAUUCAUAGGAACAAAUAGAUUUGAAAAAUAUUAUUUUUUCUCAUAAAGUCUUUUGUAUAGUUGGAAACAUUGUCAACUAGUGUUACUUAUUAUUACAAAUGAAAUUGAUAUCUAUUCGUUAUUUUACGAAUCACAGAGUUCAGUUUACUAGUGCAUUUUACGAAUAAGGGACAAAAAUUAAAAGGACAGGAA
rnacentral:lncRNA from 1 species